AAAAUGGCAAUCUUCAAUAUUUUUUUAAAUAAUUAAUUAAAAAAAUAAUUUUUUUAACUUUUUUACCAAAACAUAAAAAAAAAAUAAAAAAUUAGUUAUUUGUAGUGCUUACCUCUGUGAGUCUUAAUAAGAAAACAGAAUUACGAUAUCUCUAUUAUUUCAGGAGAUAUCGCAAUGAGUAAAUCCUCACGGGACACCCUGUAUGUCACAGUUGAGAUAAAAAUUCUACAUCUAGAAUUUUUAUUGACUUCAUAUUUCAUUUAGAACAAAACACAAUAUAUAAAUAAAUCUGCCAGGGGGAGUUGCUUUAGAGGGGGGCUAUAGUGGCUAAAGCCACCGCCCAUCACCUAUUGAUACUAUUUCAAGUAUUCUUUUUCAUUUAUAUUAGUAUAUAAUUAAUAUCUUAGAUCAUAUACAAUGGAUGGAGCCACAGCUCAAUAUUUUGAUGUACGCAUGUUAGUGAUAAGUCUCCAGUUGUCGCAAGCGACUGGUCGCAUAUUUUUCCCAAUGAUAUCAUUGUAUAAUGUGAUCUAAGAUAGCAGUAUUUCUACUCCUCCAUCAUUGUAACCAGCCAAAAAAUAUUCAGAUUCUGAACGGAGCAAGGAAGC